UACAAAACAGCAGGCAAACUUGUGUGCAACUGUGCUUUGCAUUGUCACAAGGUGACAGUCUGACAGGCCCUUCUCCCACCUGUGACUUGUCUGCCUCCCCAGGUGCAGGAAAUGAGAGUACUCUAUGACUGGGAGGUCAUGUGAGUAAAUUAGUUCAGGCCCGGUAAUAAAAGGGAAGCUUCCAGAAAGGGAGAUGAGGCCUGUUUUGCUCUAUAGAGUUGAAAGGGGUUAGCAUUGAUGGAGCUGUGAAAAGGCUGCAGCUGGCCUGAAUGAUCAGUACAGAGCCCAAAAGGAGAGCUGUGGCAUUUCUGACUUAAGAAAGGAAAAAACUAUGGCUCUGAAGAACAGCGCCCAUGAUGCAAACAUCCCACUCUACAUCCUCCGUUCCAGUGCAACCUGUGCUGAUGAUGCAUCAGUCACUGUAGAUAAGCAUGAGUUAACACAUGGAAUGCUAACAGAGUACGGCUAGCAUCUGAGAAUGUGAUUCCGCUGCCAGAGAGGUAACAUAAAUCUAAGUAACAAGUGAGAAAUGCCUACAGUCUCUGGAACCACACAUUCCGUUCCCAGCUGGGCUGACUCUGUGCUUCAUCCUUCCAGAGUAGAUACGUUAAGUCCUUUCUGAGUAUGUUAAAAGUAUCAAGCAGCCACCAUCACCCAUCAGAGAUCCCCACCAUGAAAGUUAAUAGAGGGUGUUUGGACAGAUUGUGAAUCAGGAUUUUUAGCUCUGAAGGAGCUGGACCUGCUAGCCGCUUCUGGGGAACAGCGAGGUCUGCGGUGCCAGGACAGGCAAGAAGCCUGCCUCUGCAUCCCGGUUGUGCCACUGACCAGGAGCCACCGGAGGAGCAAACUGCCUGGGAAAUCAACAUUCCAUGAAGUGAAUGAACAAACAGCUUAUAGAAGGAUGGAAUUUGUUUAUCAUCAGAACACUGGGCUCUCUGUUUUUAUUUAUAGCAUGUUAUCAACUAAAGUUCCUUUUUUGCUUAGCUACUGCGUGAAUGAAGACAGCUUUUUAAUAUUAGUAAAUAAAAGCUCUAUACAUAAAAAUUUGCCACAUGAUUCUUGUAUACUGAACUUAAGUUUUUCCUUCAUGAAGUU